GUCGAGCGGAGACAGUGAGUAGCUUGCUAUGAGCUGUUUUAGCGGCGGACGGGUGAGUAACGCGUGAGCAACCUUUCCCAGACAGGGGAAUAACACACCGAAAGGUGUACUAAUACCGCAUAAGACCACGGAAUCACAUGGUUCUGAGGUAAAAGAUUUAUCGGUUUGGGGUGGGCUCGCGUCCGAUUAGGUAGUUGGUGAGGUAACGGCCCACCAAGCCGACGAUCGGUAGCCGACCUGAGAGGGUGAUCGGCCACAUUGGGACUGAGACACGGCCCAAACUCCUACGGGAGGCAGCAGUGGGGAAUAUUGGGCAAUGGAGGAAGCUCUGACCCAGCAACGCCGCGUGGAGGAAGAAGGUUUUCGGAUCGUAAACUCCUGUCCUUGGAGACGAGUAGAAGACGGUAUCCAAGGAGGAAGCCCCGGCUAACUACGUGCCAGCAGCCGCGGUAAUACGUAGGGGGCAAGCGUUGUCCGGAAUAAUUGGGCGUAAAGGGCGCGUAGGCGGCUCGGUAAGUCUGGAGUGAAAGUCCUGCUUUUAAGGUGGGAAUUGCUUUGGAUACUGUCGGGCUUGAGUGCAGGAGAGGUUAGUGGAAUUCCCAGUGUAGCGGUGAAAUGCGUAGAGAUUGGGAGGAACAUCAGUGGCGAAGGCGACUAACUGGACUGUAACUGACGCUGAGGCGCGAAAGUGUGGGGAGCAAACAGGAUUAGAUACCCUGGUAGU
rnacentral:rRNA from 1 species